rnacentral:rRNA from 1 species
UACGUAGGGUGCGAGCGUUAAUCGGAAUUCCUGGGCGUAAAGGGCUCGUAGGUGGCCAACUAAGUCAGACGUGAAAUCCCUCGGCUUAACCGGGGAACUGCGUCUGAUACUGGAUGGCUUGAGUUUGGGAGAGGGACGCGGAAUUCCAGGUGUAGCGGUGAAAUGCGUAGAUAUCUGGAGGAACACCGGUGGCGAAGGCGGCGUCCUGGACCAACACUGACACUGAGGAGCGAAAGCCAGGGGAGCAAACGGG